AUGGCUGUCGUCAGCUCGUGUCGUGAGAUGUUGGGUUAAGUCCCGCAACGAGCGCAACCCUCAUCUUUAGUUGCCAUCAGGUUAAGCUGGGCACUCUAAAGAAACUGCCGGUGAUAAGCUGGAGGAAGGCGGGGAUGACGUCAAGUCCUCAUGGCCCUUACGGUCUGGGCUACACACGUGCUACAAUGGUGGUGACAGUGGGCAGCUAUGUCGCGAGACAAAGCUAAUCCCAAAAAGCCAUCUCAGUUCAGAUUGGACUCUGCAACUCGAGUCCAUGAAGUUGGAAUCGCUAGUAAUCGUAGAUCAGCAUGCUACGGUGAAUACGUUCUCGGGCCUUGUACACACCGCCCGUCAAGCCAUGGAAUCUGGGGGCGCCUGAAGUCAGUAACCGCAAGGAGCUGCCUAGGGCGAAUCUGGUAACUAGGGCUAAGUCGUAACAAGGUAGCCGUACCGGAAGGUGCGGCUGGAUUAACUCCUUUUUAGAGAAAAACGACUCUCUUAUAAUAUUCGUUGGUUUAAUUGGGCUGCUGCAUCAUUCUUUUUUUUUCCGUCCUUAUCUAGUCCUGUAGCUCAGUUGGUUAGAGCACUACACUGAUAAUGUAGGGGUCAGCAGUUCAAAUCUGCUCAGGACUACGGUGAAGAUGGGGGAUUAGCUCAGCUGGCUAGAGCGCCUGCCUUGCACGCAGGAGGUCAUCGGUUCGACUCCGAUAUUCUCCACUAAAAAGAAGUUCUUUGACGUACUGGUAGAAGAUAGAGUAAAUCAUAAGCAACAAAGGGCAGUUGGCGGAUGCCUAGGCUCUCAAUAGCGAUGAAGGACGUGAUAAGCUGCGAUAAGCCAUACUGAGAUGCAAAUAAUCGUUUAAGUAUGGAUUUCCGAAUGGGGAAACCCGG
rnacentral:sRNA from 1 species